GUAUGAAGUAACAGUAUUGUAUGUAUUUCUAUGUUUAUUAUUCUUUUCUUAGACAAAAAAAAAGAUAAGUAAAUGUAUGUCUAGUGUUGGCAGGUUGGAGCCAUCCUAACACUACUGUCUUAGAGCCAGGAAACCCAGGUUUGAAUCCCAGUCAGACCCCUUUUCCAAUAAGUGUCCCUUGACAAGAACAUGUUUUUACAGCAC